GAGCGUCUGGCAAGUGGUGUUUGCUGCUUGUCCAGAGGCCAGUGUCGGAUGUUCAGGCCGGCCUGGUGCUCGAUGGGUGGAACGCUGACUGGUUGGAUGUUCAUGGCUGUUCUGGUGGUCUAGUACGCCUCUGUUGUGUGGGGGUGGAACGGGGCUGGAGUGGUUGUGGGGGUCUACGUGGCACGCUGUUGGGUCCUGAGGGAGUGAGUGUGCUUCCUUGGCGAUCGUGGGAGCCCUCCGGUGCUGGUGUGCCGGGGGGUUCGGUCGCGGAUCGGGUCAUCUGCGUCGUGGAACUGCCGGUGUGUGCCGGUGGGCCGCGGGGUGUGGGUGGGGCCGUCUGUAUCUUGAGAACUGCACAGUGGACGCGAGCAUCUUUGUGG
rnacentral:misc_RNA from 1 species